GACGAACGCUGGCGGCGUGCCUAACACAUGCGAGUCGAGCGAUGAAAUUAGAAACGGAGUCUUCGGACGAAGAGGAAAAUGGAUUAGCGGCGGACGGGUGAGUAACACGUGAGCAACCUGCCUAUCACAUCGGGAUAGCCUCGGGAAACUGGGAUUAAUACCGAAUGAAACAUAAUCACUGCCUAGUGGAAAUGUCAAAGAUUUAUCGGUGAUAGAUGGGCUGGCGUCUGAUUAGCUAGUUGGUGAGGUAAUGGCUCACCAAGGCGACGAUCAGUAGCCGGGCUGAGAGGGUUAACGGCCACAUUGGGACUUAGACACGGCCCAAACUCCUACGGGAGGCAGCAGUGGGAAAUAUUGGACAAUGGAGGGAACUCUGAUGCAGCGACGCCGCGUGAGCGAUGAAGGCUUUCGAGUCGUAAAGCUCUGUCGAAUGGGAAGAUAAUGACGGUACCAUUUGAGAAAGCCCCGGCUAACUACGUGCCAGCAGCCGCCGUAA
rnacentral:rRNA from 1 species